AAAAAAAUUUUUUUAUAUUUUUACAAAAAAAAAAUUUUUUUUACCAGCAAUGAUAAUUUAUCCGGGGGAACUCGAAAUUAAAUUGGUGGCGCUGGGUAUGCUAUUUUUGUUAUGUUUUGGGACUUAUUUAACAAUUGGCAUUUUAUUGUUGUGUCAAAAAUAAUUCCAUAAAAAGUUAAUUAAUGGUUAUAAAAUUAAGUAAUUUACACUUAAUCAAAUGUAAGUUAGGUAAAUUUGAAACGCAAAACAUAUGGUUAAUUAUCGGAUUAGUGUUUAGUAUAAAACUGCAAGUGUAAGCAUUGUAAUUUUUUGUGGUUAUGAAUAACUUGAUCGAUAAAAUAAAAACAAUCAAAAAGAAUCAGUAUAUAAAAAAGCAUAUUUAUCGUGGAUAAUCUAAAUAUGACUGGAAAAAUAAUCGUCUAAAGUAUGUCCCAAUAUUGAAUACAAUUGGGACUCACAGAUGGAGCGAAUGUGGUUCUGUUGGUAAAAAUAAAGGAACAGUUAGGUCAAAAUGAAAGGUUGUCAUUCCUCUUAA